rnacentral:rRNA from 1 species
AACGUAGGUGGCAAGCGUUAUCCGGAUUUACUGGGCGUAAAGGGCGCGUAGGCGGCCGUUUGCGUCGGAUGUGAAAGCCCGGGGCUCAACCUCGGGACGGCAUUCGAUACGGGACGGCUGGAGACCGGGAGAGGAGAGUGGAAUAGCCAGUGUAGAGGUGAAAUUCGUAGAUAUUGGCUGGAACACCGGUGGCGAAAGCGGCUCUCUGGCCCGGUUCUGACGCUGAGGCGCGAAAGCGUGGGGAGCAAACAGG